ensembl:snoRNA small nucleolar RNA SNORA1
GGACCAUCUUUACACAAUAUUUGGUGAGUGACACAUGAGCUGUCCAAAACAGUCUUCUGUGGCUACACUGACACAUAGGUGAUCCUUCCAUCACAGCAAGUUUACUGCAGUGGUGACCAUGAGACCUAUAACAUUU